UCUUUUACUGCUCGGUUGCCAGGAAAGAAGACAUUCAGUGCAUGUAUUCAUUACGUUCUUGCAGAAAUAUAUAGAAACAACAUGUUUUCCACUUUUUGAAGCAAACUGAUUAGCAAGAGAAAUUCGAUAGACAACUUUAAAGGCCAAUAAUGCCUUUGUUCAAUAUGUGCAUCGCACUUCAGCUGACGCUGAUGUAGUGAGUAUGAGCAAUAUCGGAAACAACAAUGGAUUCAACAACAACAACAACAACAAUGGAUUUGGCAACAACAACGGAUUCUUUGACAAUAACAACGGAUUCGGCAACAACAACGGAUUCUUUGACAAUAACAACGGAUUCGGCAACAACAACAACAACGGGUUCUUUGACAAUGGAUUUGGAAACAACAAUGGAUUCAAUAACAACAACAACAACAACAACAACAAUGGAUUCUUAUAAAAUGAAAAUCUGUCAAAUUUGUAUUUAAAGCUCGACACCAUACCCUUGGAUUUCGCAAAAAAAGAGCUGAUCAGGAAAUGGACCAAAACGCGGAGCUUACAGUUAUAUGAGUUUCGGACAUUUCCGUGUUUAAGAAAUAUAUGCCAUACAUAUAUGGCUUUAUAUAUAAUGUCAUGCAUAAUUUGCUUUUUUAUAUGCACGUGUACAUGUUUUUUCUCUUCCUGUAAAUGUGAAAAUUCCAUGCUUUCAUUUUAAACUUUAAUCGUAGCUUUGCUUACCAUGGUUACGUGACAUCACUACACUACAUCUUCUUUCCUGAUUUAAUGGCAUAUAUAUUUAAUAAAACUGUA